rnacentral:tRNA from 1 species
GGGGUUGUGGUCUAACUUGGUAGGAUUGGCGGUUCGGGACCGCCAAGUCGGGGUUCAAAUCCUCGCAACCCCA